rnacentral:ncRNA from 1 species
GAGAGCCGGACGAGCGGAGACGUUCACGUCCGGUUCCGUGAGCGCCUCGGGGGUAGUUCCCCGGGGCGACUCGACAACGAAUCAGGAAUCCGUUUCGAUUCGCAA